AACCACCCCUGAUAAUUAUCUUAUGAAUUUUUUGAACGUUAAUGCAUUCUAUGAACGAAGCUUCUUUAGAGAAACACGGAAACCGGAAAACCAAAGAGACUCUACGUUCGUGUUUAAAAUAAGUAAAUUUCUUUCUGCCGAUGGUUACAAUGAAAUAUAUUCUCGUCGAAUUGUUCUAGAUAUUGGAAUCCUGAAAUACUUUUAUUUCAGUACCAAUCAUCCAAACUUCGUUAAUUACGCUACUCUUGGAGGUCUUAUUGCUCAUUAACUAGGACACGUUGUUGACAAUCGCUACAAAUUUAUUAACAAGUACGAUGUGAGAAAGAACAAUUGGGGUGAAUUGACUAAUCAAAAAUACCAGGAAGU